ensembl:lncRNA
GCUACUUGCACAAGCACUUCCUGAUUCGCCGUAAUACAGCUCAUCAGCUUCCGGUUCCAAGAUGGCAACGUUCUACACCCGGUGUUUACAGGAGCUGCCGACAAUAAAUAUCACAGAUGUGCAUCGUUUAUGUCGGGAAACAAAAACUCCGACAAGCAGAUUGGAGAAGGGGUUUAGGCUGUAUGCUUCGACCUACAUUCACAGCUACGAAGAUCAAGCUUUGUGAUUCAGCAGCCAAGGGAUGAAAAAAGAAAGAGUUAAUCUAUGGGCUGGAGCAGCUGUCUCUGAGAGGAAAAGAAAAAAAGUGCGACCACUUCUUUUUUCUGGACAGCUGAUUUGGCUCUGGAAACACGGACCAUCUUGUAGAGAAGGCUCAAUCAAAGACCAAAAAGCUAUCAGAUGGUUGUAGCUGGCAAAUCUAUUCACAAAAGACAUUGCAUAAAAAUUUUCAAUUAGAAGUGUACAUCAAAAGUAUACAUUGUUACCAAAAUAAUGUCAACAGUAACUACUAAGAUUAAGAUUUUAU